GACGAACUGUGCGAACGUUGUUCGGAAUCACUGGGCUUAAAGGGUGCGUAGGCGGCUUGUUAAGUCGGGGGUGAAAUACUUCGGCUCAACCGGAGAAUUGCCUUCGAUACUGGCGAGCUGGAGGAAGGUAGGGGUCACGGGAACUGCCAGUGGAGCGGUGAAAUGCGUUGAUAUUGGCAGGAACGCCGGUGGUGAAGACGCGCGGCUGGACCUUUUCUGACGCUGAUGCACGAAAGCCAGGGGAGCAAACGGG
rnacentral:rRNA from 1 species